rnacentral:rRNA from 1 species
UACGUAGGUGGCAAGCGUUGUUCGGAAUUAUUGGGCGUAAAGGGCGCGUAGGCGGUUUGUUAAGUCGGCUGUGAAAGCCCGGGGCUCAACCCCGGAGGGUCAGCCGAUACUGGCAGGCUAGAGUACGGAAUAGGUAGCUGGAAUUCCCGGUGUAGCGGUGAAAUGCGUAGAUAUCAGGAGGAACACCGGUGGCGAAGGCGGCUUGCUGGGCCAGUUCUGACGCUGAGGAGCGAAAGCGUGGGGAGCGAACAGG